UUGCACUGUUCACACUUACAUGAAAAAAUCUGAUAUGUGUCACAUAUGGUUAAAAAAUCAAAAUUCACCUGCAGUGUGAACAUAGCCUAAUAGUCUUGUUUGCUUUUGUAUAAUAUGAGAAGGCAUCAGUAUAAGUUUGGGGGCUCUAUUUUGGUGCUUCGCCGGAGACGUGCCGCAAGCGCAGAGUCAAUCAGAUCCGCCGCGCUGACAAGGCGUUCCCAAGCACAUUUUGGUAUUUUGGUGAGCCGCGCAGCCCGGCGUAAGUAUCCCCCCUCCCUAACUCAGCUCCUCCCGGCAGCAUAAAUCAUAGACGGGGAGGAGAGGGGGUUUAACACAGCCGAGACCUGUUUUCACCAAUCACAUUAGCUCCUCUCCUCGCCUUUAAAUCCGCCACAGGCGAGGCGUAUUACUAUUUUCAUGAAGUAGUCAAAGAGAUCAAGAGAUGUCUGAAGACAGUUAUGUCACACGAUGGCGACAGAAGGCAGCUGCUCAACAAGUGUCCUCCACACUCUCUCAUCUGAGCACAGAUGGAUUUGGUGUGCGUAAUGUUGGACCCACUGGUAAGACAAACACCCUUUUCCACAAAUAAAGACACUCACAUAAAGUUGCAUAUAUUCAAACCUCACGUGACAAAGGUGGGUUGAGCGCACAGAUCACAACAUAAACUCCAAAAAGGCAUUAAAAUCGGAACCAUCUGUGCGUAAAUGACGCAUCGCGCUCCGUGGCCUGGCUCUUUCUUUCAUAGAUGUUGGCAUAUAAAAUAAAUUUGGCUCACAAAACUGAAUAUUAUAAUAUCCGUAUGUCGGCUUAAAGUAGAUCACGCAUCUGAGCACUGAAACAAAUCAUCUGUUCAGCCGCAGCAGCAGCAGGAAGACGGACAGAGGACACGGAGACGUGUCCAGGUCGAGCUGUGCGAGAAAUAAGAGGAAGAAAGAAAAGGAGGGAGACACAUUACAUAUCUUGUUAACUUCAUCAUGUGCGUUUAUUUACUAGAUAUUUAAUUUAAUUUGAUGCAGUUUCAGCUGUAUUGAUUCGGUCAGGUUGUGUGUCCAAACGCGUGCCAAACGCGCUCAUCAGAUCAGAUAUAGAUCAGAAUAUAUCGAUAUAGAUCUAAAUGUAUGUGCUGACUCAGAUUAAUAGUUGUUGAUGAUUAUUUAUUGCACUGAAAUCUGCCUGACACUGUGGAAACCUGCCGGUGAGGCAUCAGUGACGUAUGUCGAUACGCUGCCGGUCUACCAAAAUACUACUGGACCAGCUGCGUUCCGCCUUGCGCUGAAAGCUGACCAGGUUUGAAUCGGCGAGCUUUCAGCGCACGUUACACGCCAGUGGCGAGCACGAAAAUGUCACUGCGCCAGCUGAUUCUGUCAACACCUCCCCCUGCCACGCCACCACGCCCAGCUUGGCGGAUCUCGGCUCGCCUCCGUGCGACUCAGUCCACGAAAAUACCAAACUCGCCUUACACCGGGCUCCGCCAGACGAAAAUACAACUGCGCGGGGCUCGCCGCCCUCCGCCGCCUCACCGGCGCGAACGAAAAUAGAGCCCUAAGUCUUUAUAUCUAUGUCAAAAAAAUUCCUCACAGGAGCUCAAAGUGUCCGAAUGUAUCAUUAAAGUUUCUG